rnacentral:rRNA from 1 species
UAUGUUUAUUCUAGGCAUAUACAAUAAUUACGUAAUAUAGUAAUUACAAAAUGCAUAUUUAGGGGCGAUAGACCUUCCAAAUUUUUUGAUAACUUGUUGUGUAAUAAAAAUAUUUAGUAUCUAGAUAGACUAUAAAAGUUAAGCUUUAUAGUAUUUAUUAAUUUCAUUUUAGAACUCUUGUAGUUUAAUCACUAGCAGUUUAUUAAUUCUAAUAUAAAAUGUGAAUUUUUAUAUCCUUAAUUACACUAUAUUUAUUAUGAUUAAAUAAAUAAUGUAAAUAUUAGUGGCUUAUGUAAAUAUAUUAAAGGAACUCGGCAAAUAUCCUACUCAACUGUUUAACAAAAACAUAACUAUAUGAUAUUAUAUAUAGCUACUUCUGCUCCAUGGUGCGCUAAAUAGCCGCAGUACUCUGACUGUGCAAAGGUAGCAUAAUCAGUUGGCCUAUAAUUGAGGUCUGGUAUGAACGAAUAAUUGGGUAGUAACUGUCUUAAUGUAUUCUUACAAACUUAGUAAGCAAGUGAAAAUACUUGCUAAAUUAUAAAAGACGAGAAGACCCUAGAAACUUGCAAGUGUUUUUGUUGGGGCGACAGGAUUACAAUUAACUAAUCUUAUUUUACGAGACGAUAAACAGAAAGAAUAAGUUACUCUAGGGAUAACAGCAUAAUUUUAAUAGUUUGUGACCUCGAUGUUGGACUAGGUAUAAAACUCCUUAGAAGGGAUUUAAUAUGCUCUGUUCGAGCU